AGAGAGAGAGGAGGUUGCCGAAUAAGGGAAGAAAAAGGAGGAAGGAGAACCACCAUUUUUCAACUUAAAUUUUCACUCCAAAUCAAGUAGUUCCAAAGGAGCAAGGUGGAAGUGUUGACUUAGGAACCAAAUCCACAUAAAUUGGAAAUAAACAGAUGAUACACUGGUGUUUGGAUGGAUGUGAUCUGGAUACCAUGAUAUGUGCGCAUUGAUAUGAUAUGGUCUCUCUCAUGUAAGAGAUAAAGGAUUACAGGCAAGUAGGAGCAGUGCCUGUUGUCACCAAGAUCAGGAGCUAACUUGACUUGAAAAAGAGACUGAGAAGGAAGAUAAGAAAAAAUGAGUCAAGGCCUAGAGGUGACUCAUUCCAGAUAAGGGAAAAGAAAAAGCAGCAAAGUGAGCUGCUAAGUUGACAAAGACUCCACUGAAGUUUUUGUAUGGGUAUUAUUUUAUGCCCAUGUAAUUUAGUUUGAUGUAAAUAUGAUAUUGUUUAAAUGUAUCUAUGUAGGAAAUGAGCAGUUGUACACUUAAAUCUGUAAUAAUAUUAUUUUUGAAUUUUGUUUCUGUAUAU